rnacentral:rRNA from 1 species
GAGUUUGAUCAUGGCUCAGAUUGAACGCUGGCGGCAUGCCUUACACAUGCAAGUCGAACGGCAGCACGGGAGCUUGCUCCUGGUGGCGAGUGGCGAACGGGUGAGUAAUGCAUCGGAACGUAUCCUGGAUGGGGGAUAACGUAGCGAAAGUUACGCUAAUACCGCAUAUUCUGUGAGCAGGAAAGCGGGGGACCUUCGGGCCUCGCGCUCUUGGAGCGGCCGAUGUCGGAUUAGCUAGUUAGGUGAGGUAAAGGCUCACCAAGGCGACGAUCCGUAGCAGGUCUGAGAGGAUGAUCUGCCA